rnacentral:tRNA from 1 species
UGGCUCAGUUAAUAGAGCAUGGCGCUUGCAAUGCCAGGGUUGUGGGUUUGAUUCCCCC